rnacentral:lncRNA from 1 species
GUGACAGAACACUAGCAUAGUUCAGGAACAUUUCUGCAGGUCCAGCUAGAAGUAAAAGUGGCUGGCAGAGACUCCAUAACAAAAAAGAGCAGCAUGGUAGGCAAUGCAGUGGAAAGACAUUCACAUCCUAACAGAAUAUGCUGUGGGAGACAGAGCAGAAAGUCCUGCAACAAUCAAUCUACUCCUCUCCACUCAUCUACAAGAUAUUGGAUAACAUCAAGUUAUAUAGACAAAGUGGGAAUAAAGUGCAUUUAUCUGGUCAGUUCAAGGAUGGAGAGUUAAGGGAUUUUCCAUUUCCCUAAGCUGGUCACAAAAUCAGAACACGAUUAAAAUCCGAGGUAGAAUAAACUCCAAACAAACAAUACUUCCCA